GCGCGAAAACUCCACACUGUACGGAAGUACGAUGGGGUUACCUCGAGUGUAGUCUGUAAAAGAUUGCUUUUCCAUAGAGUAAUAUCCUGUGGGAAUAAGAGGGGGGCAAGACUGGUGUCAGCCGCCGCGGUAACACCAGCCCCUCGAGUGGUAGGGACUUUUAUUUGGCCUAAAGCGUUCGUAGCCGUCUGUAACCGUUGCCCGUUAAAUCCAGCGUCUCAAGCGUUGGACUGCGGGCGAUACCUUACAGAUUGAGGGUGGGAUAGGUAAGCGGUAUUUCUGGGGUAGGGGCGAAAUCCUUUGAUCCCAGGAGGACCACCAGUGGCGAAGGCUGCUUACUAGAACACGCCUGACGGUCAGGAACGAAAGCUGGGGUAGCGAACCGGAUUAGAUACCCGGGUAGUCCCAGCUGUAAACGAUGCGCGCUAGGUGUUGGGUCGGCCAUGCGCCGCCCCAGUGCCGCAGGGAAGCCGUUAAGCGCGCCGCCUGGGGAGUACGGCCGCAAGGCUGAAACUUAAAGGAAUUGGCGGGGGAGCACCACCAGG
rnacentral:rRNA from 1 species